rnacentral:rRNA from 1 species
UGGGAACGUGCCUCCUGGUCUGGAAUAACCCUGGGAAACUAGGGCUAAUACCGGAUACGCCCUUUUGGGGAAAGGUNGACUGCCGGAAGAUCGGCCCGCGUCUGAUUAGCUAGUUGGUGGGGUAACGGCCUACCAAGGCGACGAUCAGUAGCUGGUCUGAGAGGAUGAUCAGCCACACUGGGACUGAGACACGGCCCAGACUCCUACGGGAGGCAGCAGUGGGGAAUAUUGGACAAUGGGCGCAAGCCUGAUCCAGCCAUGCCGCGUGAGUGAUGAAGGCCUUAGGGUUGUAAAGCUCUUUUAUCCGGGACGAUAAUGACGGUACCGGAGGAAUAAGCCCCGGCUAACUUCGUGCCAGCAGCCGCGGUAAUACGAAGGGGGCUAGCGUUGCUCGGAAUCACUGGGCGUAAAGGGCGCGUAGGCGGCGUUUUAAGUCGGGGGUGAAAGCCUGUGGCUCAACCACAGAAUGGCCUUCGAUACUGGGACGCUUGAGUAUGGUAGAGGUUGGUGGAACUGCGAGUGUAGAGGUGAAAUUCGUAGAUAUUCGCAAGAACACCGGUGGCGAAGGCGGCCAACUGGACCAUUACUGACGCUGAGGCGCGAAAGCGUGGGGAGCAAACAGGAUUAGAUAUCCUGGUAGUCCACCCCGUAAACGAUAAAUGCCAGCUGUUGGGGUGCUUGCACC